rnacentral:rRNA from 1 species
UAAAAGAUCCUGCCGGAGGCUGCUGCUAUCCGGCUGGUUUUAAACCAUGUGAGUCGAGGGGCUCGUAUCUACUGAUACGAGCACCGGCGGACGGCUCAGUAACACGUGGACAACCUACCCUCGGGUGUGGGAUAACCCCGGGAAACUGGGGCUAAUACCACAUAUGAGAUGGGUACUGGAAGGUGUCUCAUCUCUGAAAGCGCUUAGCGCCCGAGGAUGGGUCUGCGGCGGAUUAGGUAGUUGGCGGGUUAACGGCCCACCUAGCCGAAGAUCCGUACGGGCCAUGAGAGUGGGAGCCCGGAGAUGGACACUGAGACAAGGGUCCAGGCCCUACGGUGCGCAUCAGGCGCGAAACCUCCGCAAUGCGGGAAACCGCGACGGGGUCAGCCGGAGUGCUCGCGCAUUGCGCGGGCUGUCGGGGUGCCUAAAAAGCACCCUAUAUCAAGGGUCGGGCAAGGCCGGUGGCAGCCGCCGCGGUAAUACCGGUGGCCCGAGUGGCAGCCAACUUUAUUGGGCCUAAAGCGUCCGUAGCCGGGCUGGUAAGUCCUCUGGGAAAUCUGGUCGCUUAACGAUCAGACUUCCAGAGGAUACUGCUAGCCUAGGGACCGGGAGAGGCCGAGGGUAUUCCCGGAGUAGGGGUGAAAUCCUGUA